UUUCCCUGAACCUACAUGAUGCCGGAGUUUUGCACAACAUUUCGUUAUUUUAGACACUAUGCUUUUCAAAUUGUUCAAAAUGGGCUAAUGACUUCAACUUCUUGCAUUGAAGCAAGUAGUAGAAGGUCCUUAAGCUUUGUAAGUUCGUGCAGGUGACCAGCAGUCCAGCACGACCUCUAUAUUGCACAAAGUUGAAGAAUUGCACCUUUUAAUAUCAAAAAUUCUUUUGGAGACAUGGCUUGCUAGUGGUUGUUUCAAAGGUUCCUGCUUUAACUUGAUGAUAUCUUUAUUUCACGGGCUUGCAUUCUCCAAAAUCUAUAACUUAUUGUGCAUAUACAAGUAAUUGUGCUUAGGGGGUUGAUGAUAUAAAGCACAAGACAAUAUACUUUCUGAAGUUACGUGUAAAUAUGAAGUUAUGAACUUUUGCUGUGGUGAUAUGGUGUCAUUUUAUUUUUAUUUAUUUGUUUUUAGGCCAAUAGGCAAAAAGUAAGUUCACUUGUUUGAUAAAAUUCCCACAUUGGUCUUUUCCUCUUUUUCUCAAUUAAAUAUCAGAAACCCUUGGAUUCCUUCCUGCUGCAUGACUGCCCCUUUUUUCUGCUCUGCAAAAACUGUCGGAGUUUUGGAUUGGUAGUCCUCAAUGAUGUGAAGUACGGACUACGGAGUAAUAUUUAAAUAGCUAUAUUCAUAUGCUAAGUCAGUGUACUGAGAAUGAUAUAAAUAAAUAAAUGAAUGAAUUAUGCACCAUUUUUAAGUUGCAGGAAAAGUAAAACGAAUUAAUUUCAUUUUGAGGAUGAUUAUUACAUUCAAACUGAUUGAGGAGGAAUAUGUUUGGCGCCUAGGAAAUGUGAAAUUGUGAAUAUAUUAUGGUUGGGUUGAUCAACUGUGGAAACCCCAGUCAUAGACUCAAAGAGUGGAAAAUUUGAGGUUUUUAAAGGCUGAAGUUUGCUAACAAUAGAGUAAUUAGAGUAGCACUAUGUGUCUGAUGUUGCAGGUUUUGUGAAGGAGAUGGGUGGAGGAAAGUAAAAUCUUGUUUUGGGAAACAAGAUAUGGCUGUAUAGUGUAUGAAAGAAAUGAAGAUUUUGGCUGCAAACAGAUCAAAGUAGGGCUUUCAGAGGUUGAUGCUGCAUGAAAGCAAAUACAUGAUGAAACAAGGACAGAAGAGAUAGCAUAUGAAGCUUAAUAGAAUUGCUAGAGAGCCAUAUUUUUUGGUUCGUGUGUUUUCCCCUUUCUUCAAAGAAUUGUUCGUAUUACUAUUUGUUAAUUUGCAGAUAUUUGCUGUGGAUGGAAUUGGGCUUGGCAGAAUCCAGUUUCUAUCUCUUUCUUCUUGUUUGUUAAUGAAUCAGGGAAGUUGUGUAAUAUAGCUUUUUCUUUCAUUCUUUGCCGCUCCCAAAGCUUUUAAGAAACUUCCUGAUAUGUUUUAUCGAAUCAAGAAAUGGGUUCAUCUCAAUAACAGCACAAGCUCUGCUAUGAUGAGGAGGUUUCUUGAUUUGCAAAUGAGAUGACAAUGAGAGGGCUUAGCCUAGUGCUUGUGCUUGUUGCUCCGCCCCGGUUCAUGUAGUUUUCUGGUGCUCUUUCUGCCUUAUCUGUACUUAGCUGUUGUGUUGGUUCUCUUUAUUCUGGUUAAAACUACAUUUGUUGGCAGUUGAUACAGUAAAAUUUGAGGUUAGAUUCACCCCAGGUCAAUGCCCAUCACUGUUUCUUGGAACCGGACCUCCUGAUCCUGCUUGGAACUAUGAUCAAAGGACUAAAUUGUUGAUAAUGGAUUCCAUGGCACCCCAGCUCAAAAUUAAAUGUAGUACUCAAUUUGUUGGAUACUAAUCCAUUUUAUGAUGGGCAACCGACCCAGCCCAUAAUGAUUCAUGGGAUCCAGACCAUCUGUAUUCUGUCACAACAACCACAGUAAAACCCCAACAUUCUUCACACAAUUAUAUUAAAUCGUAGAUCAGGUUUAUUAGUUCUCUAUUUCAUAGUCACGCUAAAAUUUUUUCUUUGUAUAUUCAUUGAU